CUUGACAUCCAGCGAACUUGGGCAGAGGAUGCCUUGGUGCCUUCGGGAACGCUGAGACAGGUGCUGCAUGGCUGUCGUCAGCUCGUGUUGUGAAAUGUUGGGUUAAGUCCGCAACGAGCGCAACCCUUAUCCUUUGUUGCCAGCGAUUCGGUCGGGAACUCAAAGGAGACUGCCGGUGAUAAACCGGAGGAAGGUGGGGAUGACGUCAAGUCAUCAUGGCCCUUACGAGUAGGGCUACACACGUGCUACAAUGGCGCAUACAAAGAGAAGCGACCUCGCGAGAGCAAGCGGACCUCAUAAAGUGCGUCGUAGUCCGGAUCGGAGUCUGCAACUCGACUCCGUGAAGUCGGAAUCGCUAGUAAUCGUGGAUCAGAAUGCCACGGUGAAUACGUUCCCGGGCCUUGUACACACCGCCCGUCACACCAUGGGAGUGGGUUGCAAAAGAAGUAGGUAGCUUAACCCUCGGGAGGGCGCUUACCACUUCGUGAUUCAUGACUGGGGUGAAGUCGUAACAAGGUAGGCGUACGUGU
rnacentral:rRNA from 1 species